rnacentral:rRNA from 1 species
AAAGCCUGAUGCAGCUAUGCCGCGUGUAUGAAGAAGGCCUUAGGGUUGUAAAGUACUUUCAACAAGAAAGAAAAGAUAAAAUCUAAUAUAUUUUAUCAUUGACGUUACUUGUAAAAGAAGCACCGGCUAACUCCGUGCCAGCAGCCGCGGUAAUACGGAGGGUGCAAGCGUUAAUCGGAAUUACUGGGCGUAAAGAGCACGUAGGCUGUUAGUUAAGUCAGAUGUGAAAUCCCUAAGCUUAACUUAGGAACUGCAUUUGAAACUAAUUAACUUGAGUUUCGUAGAGGGGGGUAGAAUUCCAGGUGUAGCGGUGAAAUGCGUAGAUAUCUGGAGGAAUACCAGUGGCGAAGGCGACCCCCUGGACGAAUACUGACGCUCAGGUGCGAAAGCAUGGGGAGCAAACAGGAUUAGAUACCCUGGUAGUCCAUGCCGUAAACAAUGUCGACUUGAAGGUUGUAAGCUUGACUUAUAGCUUUCGUAGCUAACGCGUUAAGUCGACCGCCUGGGGAGUACGACCGCAAGGUUAAAACUCAAAUGAAUUGACGGGGGCCCGCACAAGCGGUGGAGCAUGUGGUUUAAUUCGAUGCAACGCGAAAAACCUUACCUGGUCUUGACAUCCAUGGAAUUUAAUAGAGAUAUUUUAGUGCCUUCGGGAACCAUGAGACAGGUGCUGCAUGGCUGUCGUCAGCUCGUGUUGUGAAAUGUUGGGUUAAGUCCCGCAACGAGCGCAACCCUUAUCCUUUGUUGCCAUCAGCUAGGCUGGGAACUCAAAGGAGACUGCCGGUGAUAAACCGGAGGAAGGUGAGGACGACGUCAAGUCAUCAUGGCCCUUACGACCAGGGCUACACACGUGCUACAAUGGUAUAUACAAAGGGAAGCAUCCUCGCAAGAGUAAGCGAAUCUCACAAAAUAUAUCUUAGUUCGGAUUGGAGUCUGCAACUCGACUCCAUGAAGUCGGAAUCGCUAGUAAUCGUAGAUCAGAAUGCUACGGUGAAUACGUUCCCGGGCCUUGUACACACCGCCCGUCACACCAUGGAAGUGGGUUGUAAAAGAAGUAAGUUGCUUAACCUUUUUUUAGGAGGGCGCUUACCACUUU